ACUGUUGCUGUUUGAGCACUUGGACUUCAGUUUGGUUGCAUCCCACUCGACCCCUCGAGGUCUUCAUGACGUUGCACAAGUCGCCGAGCCACGCCAAAGCCUUUAAACGUUGAUAUUUCAAUAAUUCUUCGCAACCUGAGCCGUUCCAUGCUCCAGGCAUGUUGCAGACGUCCCUGGCCGUCUUGAACCCGUCUGAGAAAGAACUGAACGUGUUGCCUUUCACGUCGGUGGUCGUAGCCCUGCAGUUCCCGUCCGACGGCAUCGCGUGGCGGAAGAACCAACAGGUCCAGCAAACGCUGCGCUUCCGAUUCCACUUCGCCGCACAGUCCGUCUAAUUCAAACCGAAGAACAAUCCACACACACCGCGCACAAAAGAACAAAGAAUAUUGGCGAUGACGUACACGGUUCGUUCUGGCACGUGAAAAUAAUCGAUUGAUGUUUAUGGAUCGUUACCGAUCGAUUGCUGGAACUCGUCCAACAUAUUCAUGGCACCUUCAGCUUUUGUUGGAUCCUCGCCCACCUCCGACGACUGAACGGCCCGCAAAGCGUCAGCCAAUUUGACAUGGAACUGUAAAAAAAAACAAAUCAUAAACCCAUUAAAAAUCCGUCAUCAUUAUGUCUGAUGGUAGUCGUAUUAUAAUCACGUCAAUUGACAUUCAUUACGACGACGAUAGGCAAAUUGGUUGAAACGAAAAAUAACGAUGAUUCAUCUAACCUCGGCUAGAAGGCGGUGAAAUUUGUAGGACGUGAUGAGGACGCGCCGACGUCGUUCCAGUAGACCGGCAAACGUCCGACACACCGAGUCCAUGAAACUACGCCUCGGCUUGAUGUCACUGGGCAGGAUGCAGCGCGACCGGAAGAGGAAGCCCAGUCGAUGGCGCACUUCCGCAUAUUUGGCAUAGGUAUCCUAGAUGUACGGAGACAGGUGAAUAUCUAAUUAGACUCGACAAUGACGUGGAUGGAACGAAGGGAGAAUCGAUGGGCGUUGUUUGCUUUUAUCCCACCAACUUCCAUGUUUGUUUUCAAAUGACUUUUGAACGGAUGGAUGACGGGACUUACGCGACACUUGAGCUCUAGGUGUUCCAGUUCCUGCUGGAGCACCAGGACUGAGUCGGGAUCCUGGCCGAUUCCGCGUAGAAUCAGCUGACGGAGGAGAUCAGCGCCUGGUCCCAGUACCCAACCUGUGACUGCCUCCACUCCGGCCUCCAGGCGUCGGAUUUCGCGUGCGUGCUGGAUGCCGCACUGAAGUUCGGCGUACAAUUGUUCAGCUUCGCCCACGCGUCCGCGUAUUCCGGCCAAGGCUUCCUGAACGAGUCGCUGACACUGGGUCGUGUACUCUGUGACGGAUCCAUCUGUCCUGGCCAGCCGGAACCCCGACUCUUCAUCCGUCUCCAGUUGUUUGUAGAGUUUUCUUCCUGCGGUAGGACAUCACACAUUUAUUUAUUUUUUUAAACAAGAACGAAUCAACCCCAUCUAGACGAUUGAGGUCACCGUAUUUAAUUUCAAAAAAAAAAAAAGACUUUCCAAAAUU